rnacentral:tRNA from 1 species
GGGCGAUUAGCUCAAUGGUAGAGCGCCUCGUUUACACCGAGGAUGUCACAGGUUCAAAUCCUGUAUCGCCCACCA